GGAUUCCCCUAGUAACUGCGAGUGAAGCGGGAAAAGCUCAAAUUUAAAAUCUGGUAGCUUUGCUGCCCGAGUUGUAAUCUAGAGAAGCAUUAUCAGCGCUCGCGGCGUGUACAAGUGUCCUGGAAUGGACCAUCAUAGAGGGUGACAAUCCCGUCUUUGACACGGCUGCCUUUAGUGCUAUUGAUGUGCUCUCAACGAGUCGAGUUGUUUGGGAAUGCAGCUCUAAAUGGGUGGUAAGUUCCAUCUAAAGCUAAAUAUUGGCGAGAGACCGAUAGCGAACAAGUACCGUGAGGGAAAGAUGAAAAGGACUUUGGAAAGAGAGUUAAACAGUACGUGAAAUUGCUGAAAGGGAAACGCUUGAAGUCGGUCGCGUUGGCUGGGUAAUUCAGAAAUCAACCUUUGGCUCGGCUUAUUUCCCAUUUGACGGGCCACCAUCAGUUUUGACCGGUGGACAAAGGCUAAGGGAAUGUGGCACCUUCGGGUGUGUUAUACCC
rnacentral:rRNA from 1 species